UACGUAGGUGGCAAGCGUUGUCCGGAUUUACUGGGCGUAAAGAGCGCGCAGGCGGUCGUCCAAGUCGCGUGUGAAAGCCCCCGGCUCAACUGGGGAGGGUCACGCGAUACUGGUCGACUCGAAGGCAGGAGAGGGUAGUGGAAUUCCCGGUGUAGUGGUGAAAUGCAUAGAUAUCGGGAGGAACACCAGUGGCGAAGGCGACUACCUGGCCUGUUCUUGACGCUGAGGCGCGAAAGCUAGGGGAGCAAACGGG
rnacentral:rRNA from 1 species